GGGCCUGUAGCAUAACCUGGAUCAGUGCGAUCGGCUUCGGACCGGUUGAUCAGGGUUCAAAUCCCUGCAGGCUCA
rnacentral:tRNA from 1 species